UACGGAGGGUGCGAGCGUUGUCCGGAAUCAUUGGGCGUAAAGCGCGCGUAGGCGGUUACUCAAGUCGGAUGUGAAAGCCCUCGGCUUAACUGAGGAAGUGCACCCGAAACUGAGUAGCUAGAGUACUAAAGAGGGUCGCGGAAUUCCCGGUGUAGAGGUGAAAUUCGUAGAUAUCGGGAGGAACACCGGUGGCGAAGGCGGCGACCUGGGUAGAUACUGACGCUGAGGCGCGAAAGCGUGGGGAGCAAACAGG
rnacentral:rRNA from 1 species